rnacentral:antisense_RNA from 1 species
CUCUGCGGUGGAACGGGAGGGGGACGCUUCGUGCGUGCUGAUUCUUAGCUAUCAGUCUGCUAACCCGCUUUCGUUCUGCCACCAUC